AUCGGGUCCAUUAACAUCUCUACCCACGACGAUGUCUUCCCACGUACAAGCGAGCGCCGCCCUCGAGGAACCCUGCCGCCGUUGACCUCGCGCUCGCCGACUCUGUCACCUGCCGCUGCCGUCCCCUACCAACGCCUACUUCUUCACAACGCCAUCGCCACCUGCGUGUUGCCAACGUCUCCUGCCAACGCCACGAACACCGCUGCCCCUGGCCUGAUGAGCCUAAUCACGCUGGUGUUCCCCGUGACGUCGGGUCGUCCUCCCAGCAAUGCAAGAAGACCGAUUAUGCCGGUGUUCCAGGAUGCUUGUAAAUACCCAAAAUGUUCUCAUGAUGCUUGUAAAUUCACAAGAUUUUCCUAGGAUGUUUGUAAACAAAAAAUGAGAUGUAUUUAAAUUCCCAGGAUGUUUGUAAACAAAAAUUCCAAGGAUGCUUGUAAACAAAAAUUCUCAUAAUUCAGAUAUCCCACGAUUCAGAUG
rnacentral:lncRNA from 7 species